rnacentral:antisense_RNA from 1 species
CGUAACGCCGGGCCGCAUGGGUGGAGCCCCGGGUCUACCGGGUUGCAAUAAGCGGUUCGCCAAGCCCACACGGUCUGCCUCCCGG